rnacentral:rRNA from 1 species
CCUACGGGAGGCAGCAGUGGGGAAUCUUGCGCAAUGGGCGAAAGCCUGACGCAGCCAUGCCGCGUGAAUGAUGAAGGUCUUAGGAUUGUAAAAUUCUUUCACCGGGGACGAUAAUGACGGUACCCGGAGAAGAAGCCCCGGCUAACUUCGUGCCAGCAGCCGCGGUAAUACGAAGGGGGCUAGCGUUGCUCGGAAUUACUGGGCGUAAAGGGAGCGUAGGCGGAUAGUUUAGUCAGAGGUGAAAGCCCAGGGCUCAACCUUGGAAUUGCCUUUGAUACUGGCUAUCUUGAGUACGGAAGAGGUAUGUGGAACUCCGAGUGUAGAGGUGAAAUUCGUAGAUAUUCGGAAGAACACCAGUGGCGAAGGCGACAUACUGGUCCGUUACUGACGCUGAGGCUCGAAAGCGUGGGGAGCAAACAGGAUUAGAUACCCUGGUAGUCCACGCUGUAAACGAUGAGUGCUAGUUGUCGGCAUGCAUGCAUGUCGGUGACGCAGCUAACGCAUUAAGCACUCCGCCUGGGGAGUACGGUCGCAAGAUUAAACUCAAAGAGUAGUGCGNGAGAGAGCGACGACGACGACGACGGAGGAGGAGG